CUGCAAACUAACAAUUUUUUACUUCUAAUAGUACCAGUAGGGGGAUUAUUUUUGAAGAAUCUCAUUCAGUUCUACUUACCUUUGCAGGCGCUCCUGAUCUUGUGCGUCUUCUUGUAUUGGUGGUUCCUGCGGUUGAAACUGAAUGAUUUCAGGCUGUUGUUCACCUUCUAGGCGUGCAUAUCUGUACGAAACAAAACCACAGAAGCACAGGUUACAGAAACUGAGGAUUGCUAGCAACCGAAAAUAC
rnacentral:misc_RNA from 1 species